rnacentral:rRNA from 1 species
UACGUAGGGGGCAAGCGUUGUCCGGAAUUAUUGGGCGUAAAGAGCUUGUAGGCGGUUUGUCGCGUCUGCUGUGAAAUUUCGGGGCUCAACCCCGAACUUGCAGUGGGUACGGGCAGACUAGAGUGUGGUAGGGGAGACUGGAAUUCCUGGUGUAGCGGUGAAAUGCGCAGAUAUCAGGAGGAACACCGAUGGCGAAGGCAGGUCUCUGGGCCAUAACUGACGCUGAGGAGCGAAAGCGUGGGGAGCGAACAGG